rnacentral:rRNA from 1 species
AGCUUGCUUCAAUUGCCGGCGACCGGCGCACGGGUGAGUAACGCGUAUCCCACUUUCCGCUUACUCGGGGAUAGCCUUUCGAAAGAAAGAUUAAUACCCGAUGGUAUCCUAAGCACGCAUGAGAUUAAGAUUAAAGAUUUAUCGGUAAGCGAUGGGGAUGCGUUCCAUUAGGCAGUUGGCGGGGUAACGGCCCACCAAACCUACGAUGGAUAGGGGUUCUGAGAGGAAGGUCCCCCACAUUGGAACUGAGACACGGUCCAAACUCCUACGGGAGGCAGCAGUGAGGAAUAUUGGCCAAUGGGCGAGAGCCUGAACCAGCCAAGUAGCGUGAAGGAUGACGGCCCUACGGGUUGUAAACUUCUUUUGUGCGGGAAUAAAGGAACCUACGUGUAGGUUUUUGCAUGUACCGUAACGAAUAAGCAUCGGCUAACUCCGUGCCAGCAGCCGCGGUAAUACGGAGGAUGCGAGCGUUAUCCGGAUUUAUUGGGUUUAAAGGGAGCGUAGACGGGUUUUUAAGUCAGCUGUGAAAGUUUGGGGCUCAACCUUAAAAUUGCAGUUGAAACUGGAGACCUUGAGUACGGUUGAGGCAGGCGGAAUUCGUGGUGUAGCGGUGAAAUGCUUAGAUAUCACGAAGAACUCCGAUUG